rnacentral:rRNA from 1 species
ACAUGCAAGUGGUAGGAAAGCCGAAAGGUGACCGGACCCUUCGGGGAGGCUUGCACAGGUGCUGCAUGGCUGUCGUCAGCUCGUGUCGUGAGAUGUUCGGUUAAGUCCGCUAACGAGCGCAACCCUCGCUGUGUGUUAUAUGUGUCACACGGGACUGCCGGUCUUAAGCCGGAGGAAGGUGGGGAUGAUGUCAAGUCAGCAUGGCCUUUAUAUCCUGGGCUACACACACGCUACAAUGGCCAACACAAUAGGUUGCUAAGCCGCGAGGUGGCGCCAAUCCAUAAAGUUGGUCUCAGUUCAGAUUGUAGGCUGCAACCCGCCUGCAUGAAGAUGGAGUUGCUAGUAACCGCAGGUCAGCUAUGCUGCGGUGAAUACGUUCCCGGGGCUU